AUUGAACGCUGGCGGCAGGCCUAACACAUGCAAGUCGAACGGAGUGGCGGACGGGUGAGUAAUUUCUGGGAAACUGCCUGAUGGAGGGGGAUAACUACUGGAAACGGUAGCUAAUACCGCAUACUAUCAGAUGAGCCUAGGUCGGAUUAGCUAGUUGGUGGGGUAAAGGCCUACCAAGGCGACGAUCCGUAACUGGUCUGAGAGGAUGAUCAGUCACACUGGAACGGAGAAACGGUCCAGACUCCUACUGUAGGCAGCAGUGGGGAAUAUUGGACAAGGGGCGAAAGCCUGAUCCAGCCAUGCCGCGGGUGUGAAGAAGGUCUUCGGAUUGUAAAGAACUUUAAGUUGGGAGGCGUUACCAGCAGAAUAAGCACCGGAUAACUUCGUGCCAGCAGCCGCGGUAAUUC
rnacentral:rRNA from 1 species